rnacentral:rRNA from 1 species
UACGUAGGGGCCUAGCGUUGUCCGGAUUUAUUGGGCGUAAAGAGCUCGUAGGCGGGUCUUUAAGUCAGGGGGGAAAUCCUGGAGCUCAACUCCAGAACUGCCUUUGAUACUGGCGAUCUCGAGUUCGGGAGAGGUGAGUGGAACUGCGAGUGUAGAGGUGAAAUUCGUAGAUAUUCGCAAGAACACCAGUGGCGAAGGCGGCUCACUGGCCCGAUACUGACGCUGAGGUGCGAAAGCGUGGGGAGCAAACAGG